rnacentral:rRNA from 1 species
UACGGAGGGUGCAAGCGUUACUCGGAAUUACUGGGCGUAAAGCGCACGCAGGUGGCUGAGUCAGUCGAUUGUGAAAGCCCUGGGCUCAACCUGGGAAUUGCAGUCGAUACUACUCAGCUAGAGUAUGGGAGAGGGCAGUGGAAUUCCCGGUGUAGCGGUGAAAUGCGUAGAUAUCGGGAGGAACAUCAGUGGCGAAGGCGGCUGCCUGGCCCAAUACUGACACUCAGGUGCGACAGCGUGGGGAGCAAACAGG